rnacentral:rRNA from 1 species
AUUGAACGCUGGCGGAAUGCUUUACACAUGCAAGUCGAACGGCAGCACGGGGGCAACCCUGGUGGCGAGUGGCGAACGGGUGAGUAAUGUAUCGGAACGUACCCCGUCGUGGGGGAUAACUCUCCGAAAGGAGAGCUAAUACCGCAUACGACCUGAGGGUGAAAGCGGGGGACCUGCAAGGGCCUCGCGCGAUGGGAGCGGCCGAUAUCGGAUUAGCUAGUUGGUGAGGUAAAGGCUCACCAAGGCGACGAUCCGUAGCGGGUCUGAGAGGACGACCCGCCACACUGGAACUGAGACACGGUCCAGACUCCUACGGGAGGCAGCAGUGGGGAAUUUUGGACAAUGGGGGAAACCCUGAUCCAGCCAUUCCGCGUGAGUGAAGAAGGCCUUCGGGUUGUAAAGCUCUUUCAGCAGGAACGAAACGGUAGGCUUUAAUACAGUUUGCUAAUGACGGUACCUGCAGAAGAAGCACCGGCUAACUACGUGCCAGCAGCCGCGGUAAUACGUAGGGUGCGAGCGUUAAUCGGAAUUACUGGGCGUAAAGCGUGCGCAGGCGGCGACAUAAGACAGAUGUGAAAUCCCCGGGCUCAACCUGGGAACUGCGUUUGUGACUGUGUUGCUAGAGUGUAGCAGAGGGGGGGUGGAAUUCCACGUGUAGCAGUGAAAUGCGUAGAGAUGUGGAGGAACACCGAUGGCGAAGGCAGCCCCCUGGGUUAACACUGACGCUCAUGCACGAAAGCGUGGGGAGCAAACAGGAUUAGAUACCCUGGUAGUCCACGCCCUAAACGAUGCCAACUAGGUGUUGGGGGAGGAGACUUCCUUAGUACCGUAGCUAACGCGUGAAGUUGGCCGCCUGGGGAGUACGGUCGCAAGAUUAAAACUCAAAGGAAUUGACGGGGACCCGCACAAGCGGUGGAUGAUGUGGAUUAAUUCGAUGCAACGCGAAAAACCUUACCUACCCUUGACAUGUCCGGAAUCCUGAAGAGAUUUGGGAGUGCUCGAAAGAGAACCGGAACACAGGUGCUGCAUGGCUGUCGUCAGCUCGUGUCGUGAGAUGUUGGGUUAAGUCCCGCAACGAGCGCAACCCUUAUCAUUAGUUGCCAUCAUUUAGUUGGGCACUCUAAUGAGACUGCCGGUGACAAACCGGAGGAAGGUGGGGAUGACGUCAAGUCCUCAUGGCCCUUAUGGGUAGGGCUUCACACGUCAUACAAUGGUCGGUACAGAGGGUUGCCAACCCGCGAGGGGGAGCUAACCUCACAAAGCCGAUCGUAGUCCGGAUCGCAGUCUGCAACUCGACUGCGUGAAGUCGGAAUCGCUAGUAAUCGUGGAUCAGCAUGUCACGGUGAAUACGUUCCCGGGUCU